rnacentral:rRNA from 1 species
UGGUAAAAUGCGUAAAUAUAUGGAGGAACACCAGUAGCGAAGGCGGCUUGCUGGGUCUUUACUGACGCUGAGGCACGAAAGCGUGGGGAGCAAACAGGAUUAGAUACCCUGGUAGUCCACGCCGUAAACGAUGAGUACUAAACGUUGGGUAAAACCAGUGUUGAAGUUAACACAUUAAGUACUCCGCCUGAGUAGUACGUACGCAAGUAUGAAACUUAAAGGAAUUGACGGGACUCCGCACAAGCGGUGGAUCAUGUUGUUUAAUUCGAAGGUACCCGAAAAACCUCACCAGGUCUUGACAUGCUUCUGCAAAGCUGUAGAAACACAGUGGAGGUUAUCAGUUGCACAGGUGGUGCAUGGUUGUCGUCAGCUCGUGUCGUGAGAUGUUGGGUUAAGUCCCGCAACGAGCGCAACCCUUAUUGUUAGUUACCAGCACGUAAUGGUGGGGACUUUAGCAAGACUGCCAGUGAUAAAUUGGAGGAAGGUGGGGACGACGUCAAAUCAUCAUGCCCCUUAUGACCUGGGC